GAACUAGAUGACCCACUGAUCUUGAUACAUGAAGUGUCCAACCUUCAUGCUGUGGCGAAAGUGUUGGAGUUAGCUCUGAAGUCUGAUGGCCCAUAAUUUCUGCUAAAACAGAAGCAAAGGCCUCUGCUUAUUGUUGCAGAGGAUUUAGAAAGUGAGGCAUUGGGUACUCUGAUUAUUAACAAGCUUUGUGCAGGCAUUAAGGUUUGUGCAGUCAAAGCUCCUGGGUUUGGGGAGAUUGUUAGCACAAGAACAAAGGUUUUGGGACUAGUUUUUCAUUUCCAUUAGCAUCAAACUUCAACAUGGCUGUUGGGGUGUGUGUGUGUGUAUGGGCUAGUAGCUUACACCAUAAGGCAUAGAUUAGAGAUGGCAAUGGUUCCCCGUCCUCCGAUUCCCCGCGGUGAAUCCUCCCAUUAGGAGGCGGGGGUGGUAUAAAAUUUGUCUCCACGGAGGAUUAAACGGAGUAAAAACACCCUCCAUCGGGUCUGGCAGGGGCGGGUCUGGUUCACCGUCCCCCGUCCCCGCUCUCCGUGGAGGCCCGACAUAAUAGUGUAUGUGUAGUUUUACCAUGCAUAUUUGGCCCAUCUGGCCCAUAGAAACCAGGCCCAACACCAAGAAUAUAUAAAGCAUCUGCAAAACCCUAGCCAUUCCAAUCCUUCUCCCUUCUGUGUUCCUUCCCUAGUCCCCACGUCGGCGCCGACUCCCGAUCUCGUAGGCAGGCCCGCCGCGCGCCUGCCGCUCGGCACCCGCGCCGCUAGGUCGUCGGCUCGCCGCGCGCCCGCGCAGGGCCGCCGGCUCUCCACACCCGCGCCGGCAGGUCCCAGCGCGUCCGCGCCAGGUCGCCGGCUCGCCGCGCCGCCAGGUCCAGGCUUGCCCGCGCAGGGCUGCCGGCUCGCCACACCCGCGCCGGCAGGUCGCGGCGCGCCCGCGCCGCAAGGUCCCGGCGUGCCCGUGUAGGGCCACUGGCUCGCUGCUCCGCCACGCCCCGACGCCGCCGCACGCCCGCACCAGGUCCAAGCGCCGUCCUCCACCCUCCGUCCAUCCACCAGCAAGAAAGGGGAAAACGAUGACCAGCCGCUAGACGCCGCCAUGGCCUCGUCUUCACACUCGCGGGGAUGGAGGCUCCACGGGGAGAAAUUACCCGCACGGAGGCGGUGAUGGUGAAAGAUGUUGCCCCGUUACAUUUCACGGUGAUGGUGAUGGGAAAAAUUCUCCUCCGCGGAGGCGGGUCUGGUGGUGUAACCUCCGACGGGGAAUUCCCCGUUGCCAUCUCUAGCAUAGAUACAUAUGAGAAGAGAUUGCUUACAUCCAAAGGUAGCUAUGCAAAUACCAAAAUAGAUGCUAAACACACAAGACUUAGGCUGUGUUUAGUUCCACGUCAAAAUUGGAAGUUUGAAGAAAUUGGAACGAUGUGACGAAAAAGUUGAAAGUUUAUGUGUGUAGGAAAGUUCGAUGUGACGGAAAAGUUGGAAGUUUGAAUAAAAAAGUUAGAAUCUAAACAAGGCCUUAGGCCGUGUUUAGUUCCCCAUCUAAAAUUCUUUUGAUGUAUACGGACACACAUUUGAAGUAUUAAAUGUAGACUAAUAACAAAACAA